rnacentral:rRNA from 1 species
CAUUCCUUAGCGGCGAAUGGGUGAGUAACACGUACUCAACGUACCCUUUAGAUUGGGAUAGCAAGUGGAAACAUUUGAUAAUACCGAAUACUCAUAUUUCUCGCAUGAGAGAUAUGUAAAAGAUGCAUUUGCAUCACUAAAGGAGCGGGGUGCGCAACAUUAGCUAGUUGGUGAGGUAACGGCCCACCAAGGCGAUGAUGUUUAGCGGGGUUGAGAGACUGAACCGCCACACUGGGACUGAGAUACGGCCCAGACUCCUACGGGAGGCAGCAGUAGGGAAUAUUCCACAAUGAGCGAAAGCUUGAUGGAGCGACACAGCGUGCAGGAUGAAGGCCCUUGGGUUGUAAACUGCUGUGGUAAGGGAAGAAAAAACAAAAUAGGAAAUGAUUUUGUAUUGACGGUACCUUAUUAGAAAGCAACGGCUAACUAUGUGCCAGCAGCCGCGGUAAUACAUAGGUUGCAAGCGUUAUCCGGAAUUAUUGGGCGUAAAGCGUCUGUAGGUUGUUUGUUUAGUCUGGCGUCAAAUUUUGGGACUCAAUCCCAAACCGCGUUGGAUACUGGCAGACUAGAGUUGUGUAGAGGUUAGCGGAAUUCCUUGUGAAGCGGUGAAAUGCGUAGAUAUAAGGAAGAACACCAACUUGGCGAAGGCAGCUAACUGGGCAUAUACUGACACUGAGAGACGAAAGCGUGGGGAGCAAACAGGAUUAGAUACCCUGGUAGUCCACGCCCUAAACGAUGAUCAUUAGUUGAUGGAAAAUUCAUCGACGCAGCUAACGCAUUAAAUGAUCCGCCUGAGUAGUACGUUCGCAAGAAUAAAACUUAAAGGAAUUGACGGGGAUCCGCACAAGCGGUGGAGCAUGUGGUUUAAUUUGAAGAUACGCGUAGAACCUUACCCACUCUUGACAUCUUCUGCAAAGCUA